AUCCUUUUGUAGUUCAGAAGCAUGAUGAUUGGGUGUUCACGCUCUUGUGUGAGAUGUGAUGCCCUCCAACCUCCUUAUGACAUUGGCACAUUACCUGUCCAACA
ensembl:snoRNA